CCAACGGCCCUCUUUAGGGCCACAAUUGGAGUAUAGUGCCUGAACU
rfam:Angiostrongylus costaricensis strain Costa Rica genome assembly, scaffold: ACOC_scaffold0000258